ensembl:lncRNA
CAGAAAUCGAAAAAGAAAGUGCGAGUUAAGUUUGUUCCACACCGAGGGUUUGUCAUCGGUUUAUCCAGGGUGAGUCCUGACGCCUCUCUGCUUCAUUUGUUUGAGCUCUUCUUUGGUUUUCAAACACACUCUUCUGUAUCUGCUAACAGGUUGACAAGGCUAAUAAUAAAACCAAGGAGGAAAUACCACAUCUGAAGGACAGUGAUGACGCGGAGCUGAAGGGAGCUUGUGGAUUCACUCCUCAUCCUCAUCUGAAGGGUGAUGAGAGGUUUGAUGAUCUGAAGGGAGCGUUUGGUUACGACUUCAAGGUAGAGCAGAUGUCUACAUGAGUGCACGAGUUCCAGAUCUCUGUCUGUUCACUAAUAUCCUCUAAUAUUUCUGUUUCCAGGGAGACACAUUACUGAAAGCUGAAGCGGGACAGAGUUACUCACCCAACCAUGUUCAGAGUUCAUAUUUUAAUGGCUUUACGAGUCCAGCAUGGGAUUCAAAGGCAGAUCUGGAGACAGACGUCCACAAAGCCUCGGAUCUCUUCACAGCUUCAGACGCCAGUGAGGGACAUCAGAAGAAAUCAAUAAAGUUUAAAGUCCUUCGCCUGCAUCGCAGACAGUCAAAGAGUUUUGAAGAUCCUGAGAUCAAGCAGAGCAAUGAUUCAGAGAUGAAGAGGCCUCCUCUUCUUCAAGUGCGGCCGCUGUCGCCUCGAGACUCAAAGGUGAGAGACUGACUUUCUUCUGAGCUCUCUUGUUAAACUUUCAGAUUUGGAUGAAAUUGUUGAUGUCCGAUAUCUCUAGAUCUCUGAAGACGACGAGCUCCCUCAAAAGGGUGCAGAUCUGUUCAAAGCAGGAGACGUGGAGCUGGCGGAGGAAUAUACGCCGGUAACGUCAUCAUUUGAUCGUCAUGCUUCUGAUGUUGUUCACACAGACACGUUUAACACUGAUUAUCCUCUCACGCAGGACAAUAAACCACAGAAACCUACAGAGCCUGAGGCGCAUCGCAGAGGCUCAAAGGUAACGGUGUGUUCAUCCAAAUCGACUCCUUCACUACGUCUUCAUCUCGUAUAAUCUGUUCACCUGCUUCUCUCAGACUAAAGACAUAAAGGAGUUUCCUGAAGACUUUCUGGAGCCUCCAGGAGCUGUGUCUGGAGAUUUUCACCUGUCUGAUGCUGCUGAGGUAGAUUUAAUGUUUUAUUUAUACACUACAGUUUAACAGAUAUUCACAUAGAAAACAGCUGUUGAAAUUGUAAUAAUAUUUCACAAUUUUUAUUGGUAAUUUAUUCCUGUGAUGCGCAGCUGUAUUUUCAGCAUCAUUACUCCAGUCUUCAGUGUCACAUGAUCUUCAGAAAUCAUUCUAAUAUGAUGAUAAGCUGCUCAAGAAACAUUUCUGAUUAUUAUCAAUGUUGAAAACAGUUUUGCUUCUUCAUUUUUUCUGUGGAAACCAUGAUACAUUUUAUUUUUCAGGAUUCACAGAUGAAUAGAAAGUUCAAAAGAGCUUCAUUUAUUUGAAAUAGAAAUCUUUUCUAACAUUAUAAACAUCUUUACUGUCACUUUUGAUCAAUUUAAUGCGUCCUUAAAGAAUAAAAGUUUUAUUUUCUUGAAAAUCUGCCAGG